rnacentral:rRNA from 1 species
UUAAGUCGGAUGUGAAAUCCCUGAGCUUAACUUAAGAAUUGCAUUCGAUACUGGAAAGCUAGAGUAUGGGAGAGGAUGGUAGAAUUCCAGGUGUAGCGGUGAAAUGCGUAGAGAUCUGGAGGAAUACCGAUGGCGAAGGCAGCCAUCUGGCCUAAUACUGACGCUGAGGUACGAAAGCAUGGGGAGCAAACAGGAUUAGAUACCCUGGUAGUCCAUGCCGUAAACGAUGUCUACUAGCCGUUGGGGCCUUUGAGGCUUUAGUGGCGCAGCUAACGCGAUAAGUAGACCGCCUGGGGAGUACGGUCGCAAGACUAAAACUCAAAUGAAUUGACGGGGGCCCGCACAAGCGGUGGAGCAUGUGGUUUAAUUCGAUGCAACGCGAAGAACCUUACCUGGCCUUGACAUACUAAGAACUUUCCAGAGAUGGAUUGGUGCCUUCGGGAACUUAGAUACAGGUGCUGCAUGGCUGUCGUCAGCUCGUGUCGUGAGAUGUUGGGUUAAGUCCCGCAACGAGCGCAACCCUUUUCCUUAUUUGCCAUCGGGUAAUGCCGGGAACUUUAAGGAUACUGCCAGUGACAAACUGGAGGAAGGCGGGGACGACGUCAAGUCAUCAUGGCCCUUACGGCCAGGGCUACACACGUGCUACAAUGGUCGGUACAAAGGGUUGCUACCUCGCGAGAGGAUGCUAAUCUCAAAAAGCCGAUCGUAGUCCGGAUCGCAGUCUGCAACUCGACUGCGUGAAGUCGGAAUCGCUAGUAAUCGCGGAUCAGAA